rnacentral:misc_RNA from 1 species
GUGUGGAUUUACCGGAACCAUUUUCACCGAUCAGUGCAUGGAUCUCGCCUUUUUCGAAGGUAAAGGAAACGUUGUCCAGGGCAUGUGUGAUGCCAAAAUGUUUAUCAAUAUUUUCUGCUCUUAAUAAUAUCUCACCCAUAAUCGUCCUCCUAUUUCACUACAAGACCUUUGACCGGCUUGGUCGUCAGU